rnacentral:rRNA from 1 species
AUGGCUAUAUCACGUUGAAACACCGGUUUUCGUACGAUCACCGAAGUUAAGCAACGUCGAUCCUGGUCAGUACCUAGAUGGGGUGACCUCUUGGGAAUAUCCUGUACUGUAU